CCCUUAGAUGUUCUGGGCCGCACGCGCGCUACACUGAUGCAUUCAACGAGUUUCUUCCUGGUCCGAGAGGAAUGGGUAACCUUUUGAAAGUGCAUCGUGAUAGGGAUAGACUAUUGCAAUUAUUGGUCUUCAACGAGGAAUUCCUAGUAGACGUAGUUCAUCAGACUGCAUCGAUUACGUCCCUGCCCUUUGUACACACCGCCCGUCGCUCCUACCGAUUGAAUGGUUUAGUGAGGACUCCUGAUUGGCGCCGCCGCCCCGGCAACGGAGCAGCGGACUGCCGAAAAGUUGUUCAAACUUGAUCAUUUAGAGGAAGUAAAAGUCGUAACA
rnacentral:rRNA from 1 species